GAUAUCUCAUCUCAGCCGUCCAUUUUCAUUUAUACCCUACGUCAGUUCUACGCUACGCGUAUCUUCUCUGUAUUAUACAACUCCCUCUCGUCUCAGUUUGAAAGGAGGCAGAACGAGAAAAAGAAAAAGGGGGAAAAAAAGAAAUUUUCACAGGAAUAAAGAGCGAAGCCCCCAAAAUAUAAUGAAGGUUUUGGAAGAAAGAACUGAGCGCAGCGGGGAAUGUGAAACCUAGCAAGUCCUUUGAGGGUCCUGUGCUCUACUUGGAAGGACGAUGAUUCCACAGCUUUUACUAGUGGAUGUGAUAAGAUCGUGAAAAUGUUGCACUUGACGUCUUGCGGCUGGCUCACGCAAGUUGCUGCAAAUGAUGCACCCAUCGAAGAAGUUGCUUGGGUCGAACGCUCAGAUUGCAUAUUUAAGGGGAGCUGGGAUAGGCCAUUGAUGAGGCAAAUGAAGAUUGAAUUAGCUGAUUAGUUUUUCAAAAGCCGCAUCGAUUUAGUGCGACCAGGACGCAUCUGAUUUAGUCUCUGGCCUUAGUUAGGUUUUUUCUGCCAAGAGGUUAGUUGCUGGGAGGUUCGGUAAGGUAGCAGUCAGGCAAAGGCAGCCAUAUCCCACGACCAACCGUAUGAUGAUUCCGCAGUGUUUCCUGGAGGAUGUGGCUUGAGAUUGUCAAUGGCGGCUCUUGAUUUCUGGUGGCCAACCUACGCAAAUUGCUGUGCAUGAUGCACCUGUCAUAGAAGUUUCUUGGAUUGAACAGUUGAAUUGCCUAGGUACAGGGAGCUGGGACAAGACAGAUGACAACGAUGA